rnacentral:rRNA from 1 species
GACAAACGCUGGCGGCGUGCCUAACACAUGCAAGUCGAACGGAGAUAUAGAGGAAGCUUGCGAAUCUAUAUUUUAGUGGCGGACGGGUGAGUAACGCGUGGAUAACCUGCCCAUAAGUGGGGAACAACAGUUGGAAACGACUGCUAAUACCGCAUAAGCUGUAGAGGACAAAGGUUUUUUACAGUAAAGGUGGCCUCUGAAAAUGCUACCGCUUAAGGAUGGGUCCGCGUCUGAUUAGCUAGUUGGCAGGGUAACAGCCUACCAAGGCGACGAUCAGUAGCCGGCCUGAGAGGGUGAACGGCCACACUGGGACUGAGACACGGCCCAGACUCCUACGGGAGGCAG